CACCGGCCGAGCCGGCUUCGCCCCCCGCCUCUGGGGCGGCGGCUCCCACCCGCAGCCCGCGAGCGGGUUCGCGGCGGAGCGGGUAGGGCGGUUUGGCUCCUCUGAAAUGCCUCGCUAAAUGGCAGGGGAAAACAUAUGGCCCAGGAGAAAGCCGCUGGAAGCGAUAGCUGUUGGACUCCUCCGAGUUAUUUCCCCGAGUCGGUGUUGCUGCAGGGAGCCUCUGGGAGCCCAAGGGUGGAGAGAUCUACCUUCAUCUGAAGAUCUCUGCUAA
rnacentral:lncRNA from 1 species